rnacentral:rRNA from 1 species
UAAACCUCUUUUCUCAAGGAAGAAGUUCUGACGGUACUUGAGGAAUCAGCCUCGGCUAACUCCGUGCCAGCAGCCGCGGUAAUACGGGAGGAGGCAAGCGUUAUCCGGAAUUAUUGGGCGUAAAGCGUCCGCAGGUGGUCAGCCAAGUCUGCCGUCAAAUCAGGUUGCUUAACGACCUAAAGGCGGUGGAAACUGGCAGACUAGAGAGCAGUAGGGGUAGCAGGAAUUCCCAGUGUAGCGGUGAAAUGCGUAGAGAUUGGGAAGAACAUCGGUGGCGAAAGCGUGCU